GAAUUAGCUCAGCUGGUUAGAGCAUCUCGUGUACACCGAGAGGGUCCGCGGUUCGACCGCCCACCA
rnacentral:tRNA from 1 species